rnacentral:rRNA from 1 species
AAACAUGUCUUUAAGAUUAUAAUUUAAAGUYUGAUYUGCUCCAUGAAAUUAAUUAAAUAGCUGCAGAAUUCUAACUGUACAAAGGUAGCAUAAUCAAUUGUUUUUUAAUUGAAAGCUGGAAUGAAAGAUUUGAUGAAAAAAAUAUUGUCUCUAAUUUAGUAAGAUUAGAAUUUUUUUUGUAGUAAAAAUACUAUAUUGAUUUUAAAAGACGAGAAGACCCUAUAGAUUUUAAUAUUUUUAAAUUAAGUUUAAAUUAAUUAAUAAGUAUAUUUUUAAUAAAUAAAUAUUUGAUUGGGGUAAUUAUUAAAUUAAUAGAAUUUUAAUUUAUAGGUGACAAUAAUUAUUGAGUUUUUGAUCUUUAAAUUAAAAUUAAGAGAAUAAAAUACCUUAGGGAUAACAGCGUAAUUUUUUUAGAGAGAUCAUAUUAAUAAAAAAGUUUGCGACCUCGAUGUUGAAUUAAGAUUAAAUUUUAAUGAAGAAGUUAAAAAUUUUUGGUCKGUYCGACCAUUAAAAUCUUAC